AACGCUAAUACCGCAUAAGACCACACUCCCACAUGGGAGAGGGGUCAAAGGAGCAAUCCGCUGAAAGAUGGGCUCGCGUCCGAUUAGAUAGUUGGGGGGGUAACGGCCCGCCAAGUCGACGAUCGGUAGCCGGACUGAGAGGUUGAACGGCCACAUUGGGACUGAGACACGGCCCAGACUCCUACGGGAGGCAGCAGUGAGGGAUAUUGGUCAAUGGGGGAAACCCUGAACCAGCAACGCCGCGUGAGGGAAGACGGUUUUCGGAUUGUAAACCUCUGUCCUCUGUGAAGAUAAUGACGGUAGCAGAGGAGGAAGCUCCGGCUAACUACGUGCCAGCAGCCGCGGUAAUACGUAGGGAGCGAGCGUUGUCCGGAUUUACUGGGUGUAAAGGGUGCGUAGGCGGGUAAGCAAGUCAGAAGUGAAAUCCAUGGGCUUAACCCAUGAACUGCUUUUGAAACUGUUUAUCUUGAGUGAAGUAGAGGUAGGCGGAAUUCCCGGUGUAGCGGUGAAAUGCGUAGAGAUCGGGAGGAACACCAGUGGCGAAGGCGGCCUACUGGGCUUUAACUGACGCUGAAGCACGAAAGCGUGGGUAGCAAACAGGAUUAGAUACCCUGGUAGUCCAUGCCGUAAACGA
rnacentral:rRNA from 1 species